UGGGUUUGACAUACACUGGAAAGCCGUGGAGACACGGCCUCCGCAAGGCCGGUGUACAGGUGGCGCAUGGCUGUCGUCAGCUCGUGUCGUGAGAUGUUGGGUUAAGUCCCGCAACGAGCGCAACCCUUGUUCCAUGUUGCCAGCGGGUUAUGCCGGGGACUCAUGGGAGACUGCCGGGGUCAACUCGGAGGAAGGUGGGGAUGACGUGUCGUUACCUUA
rnacentral:misc_RNA from 1 species